rnacentral:lncRNA from 12 species
UGAGGAUGCACACACGGUUUACUGAAUAUUAAGAGGGAGAAGAUCCAGCAAAAGUAGCAAAUGCAGCUUUCAACAUCCUCAAAGGCAUCUAAUUGUUGGGCCAUCCUGAGUAUCUGCACUUACAGAAAUCAAGGCUCGAGUGGAACUCCCCUGAAAGCCAGGCACCGGGAAGCCAAGAUUAGUUUUCAGAAAGUAAGUGGUUUUCAUUUUUCGGCUUCUCAAGGACUCCUUCAAGGGCCAAGCAGAUGGCUGGGAGAUCUACAGAAUGGGAACCUGCAGUUCUAAUGGGGACACAGAAGUGUGUGUGGAGGGGGUUGUUUGUUUGGGGUUUCUUUUAGCUAAAUUGCCUUUUUGUUUGACAGCAAUUUGCACUAUUUAUG